CUUGGAUUACCUCUGACCCCACCAACAAUCCUGCAAGGAAGGUGCUAUUAAUAUCCUCCUCUCCACUUUACAGAGAAGACUCAAGUGCAAAGAGCUGAGGUGCUUACACAAGACCACCGCACAGGAACGAAGCGUCGGAGUGUGGAAUCGAGACCUGUUCUACUGCACUCCAGAGCACAUGUUCUUUCUACUCUGCCAUAAUGUUUGGGACAAAAUUGAAUCAUGAGGGUUUUUUUCUUCCAUUACAAAUGUAACACAUCGCUCCUGCGUACGGCUGGGAUGAGUCACUGGCACCAGACGUGCCCUCCUGCAAAAAACAGCUAUGAAACUGGACAAAAUACAGGAGGGCCACUGUUUUCAGGCGUUGAACAGUGGAAAGAGGACUGCGAUCCUUGAGAAGAGACGAUGGUGAAGCAAUACACUUCAUAAGGGCAUGGCUGCCAUAGAUAGUGAUUCCUCUGAUGGAUCUCGUCAAAGCCCAUUGGAAACCUUCUGGAAAGGAUUCACCAUUCUAGAUGCCAUUAAGAACAUUUGUGAUUCAUGGGAGGGGGUCCAAAAUCAACGUUAACAGGAGUUUGGAAGAAGUUGAUUCCAGCUGUCAUGAUGACUUUGAGAGAAGUUCAAGACCUCAGUGGAAGAAGUCACAGCAGAUGUGGUGGAAAUAGCAAGGGAACUGGAAUUUGAAGUAGAACCUGAAGAUUCUACUACUGAAUUGACUGAAUUGUGG
rnacentral:lncRNA from 10 species